rnacentral:lncRNA from 1 species
UAGCUUUGUCACAUUGACAUGUGUCAUGUUGUGAUUGGUUCUUGAUGUCGACACGUGCUGCGCUCUGAUUGGCUUCUAAUCUUGACACGUGUCGAGUAGUGAUUGGCCUCCUGGUCGGAAGGGAACUCUUCUGGGUCCUUGACAGUAUAGCGUUGGCCGGUGCUCGGUAGUUUCGGGAUUGGUCAAGUAUGGUACAAACAGUGCUCCCCUAAGUUCCCGAGUGAGGGAAACUCCUCGGUUGGGGACUUGCAAGAUCCGAUCCCGAAGAGCAUACUCCAUUGCUACUUUGUCGUACUUAUACUGUCAUUUAUUGUCAGGAAUUAUUGAGCAACUAGGUCCACUGAUUAACGUUGUUGCUGAUUAACGAAGUCUACCAACUUAUAGACUGAUGAGCCACGUGCUCAUGGUGAUCUCUUGUCUGACCGGACACCCACUUGCUCGGACAUUCGCUUAUUGGGACACCUAUGUGCUCGGACCUAACUCGAUGACCCUACAGAUAGUCCCAACUUGAUGCCCCUACGUAUGGCCCCAAUUCAAAGACCCGACUUGCGGACCCGAUCCGCGGAUCCGACACAUAGACCCAAUAUGCGAACC